rnacentral:lncRNA from 1 species
CAGAAUUUAUAAAAGUAAACCAUUAUUGGUCAAGGAACAGCCUUCAUUCAACAAGGAGCCUAGGCUCACACUGAACAGCAAGCUUUAAAAGGUUCCAAAAAUUACUAGUGUAAAACCAUUCAAAUGGUAAAAACAAAUGAUCUAAUCUAUAUAAAAAGCUAGAAACACUUAUGAACUACAUAAACAGACGACAACUGCUAAGCAUCUAUAUAAAAAACAAGAAUCGAGAAACACCUCUGAACCACAU